rnacentral:misc_RNA from 1 species
AACGCACCUUGCGCCUUUCGGUAUUCCGAAGGGCAUGCCUGUUUGAGUGUCAUUAAAUCAUCAAAUCUCUCCUUGCUUGACUCAUCUCUGGCAUGCGAGCGUUUUGGAAUAUGAGGGUCUCUUGCUGGAGCCAAUCGUGGCCUCGGCUCCCUUCAAAUGCAUCAGCAGGACUGCUUUGUCGGCCUGACCUUGGUUUGAUAAGUUUAUCUAUGCCAUUUGUCAGGAGGGCAUUCACCUCGCAAUCUUGCUCAUAGUCGUCUCUCUUGUGAGACUGUCUCGUGAGACAAAAUUUGAUCUUGAUCUCAAAUCAGGUAGGAUUACCCGCUGAACUUAA